CUGGAGUUAGAUGGCUGCUGCAAGGACUAGAACAGUCAGUGCCCAGAGAAGCAUUGAGUUUCUCAGUCACUGCCUAUGAGAAACAUUGAGGAGCAUCUCACAUUCAGUUCCUUGCUGAGGAGCCAGUGACGUUCUCAUGGAGCACUGGAAUUACAGUGGCUGCAGGACCAGAGCCCAGGUUUGGUGAGCUGAAGAUGCAGCCUG